GAUGAACGCUGGCGGCGUGCUUAACACAUGCAAGUCGAACGGGAAUUAUUUUAUUGUAACUUCGGUCGAUUUAAUUUAAUUCUAGUGGCGGACGGGUGAGUAACGCGUGGGUAACCUGCCUUAUACAGGGGGAUAACAGUCAGAAAUGGCUGCUAAUACCGCAUAAGCGCACAGAGCUGCAUGGCUCAGUGUGUAAAACUCCGGUGGUAUAAGAUGGACCCGCGUUGGAUUAGCUUGUUGGCAGGGUAACGGCCUACCAAGGCGACGAUCCAUAGCCGGGCUGAGAGGGGGAACGGCCACAAUGGGACUGAGACACGGCCCAGACUCCUACGGGAGGCAGGAGUGGGGAAUAUUGCACAAUGGGGGAAACCCUGAUGCAGCGACGCCGCGUGAAGGAAGAAGUAUCUCGGUAUGUAAACUUCUAUCAGCAGGGAAGAUAGUGACGGUACCUGACGAAGAAGCCCCGGCUAACUACGUG
rnacentral:rRNA from 1 species